rnacentral:rRNA from 1 species
GACGAACGCUGGCGGCGUGCCUAAUACAUGCAAGUCGAACGCUUCUUUUUCCACCGGAGCUUGCUCCACCGGGAAAAGAGGAGUGGCGAACGGGUGAGUAACACGUGGGUAACCUGCCCAUCAGAAGGGGAUAACACUUGGAAACAGGUGCUAAUACCGUAUAACAAUCGAAACCGCAUGGUUUCGUUUUGAAAGGCGCUUUACGGUGCCGCUGAUGGAUGGACCCGCGGUGCAUUAGCUAGUUGGUGAGGUAACGGCUCACCAAGGCCACGAUGCAUAGCCGACCUGAGAGGGUGAUCGGCCACAUUGGGACUGAGACACGGCCCAAACUCCUACGGGAGGCAGCAGUAGGGAAUCUUCGGCAAUGGACGAAAGUCUGACCGAGCAACGCCGCGUGAGUGAAGAAGGUUUUCGGAUCGUAAAACUCUGUUGUUAGAGAAGAACAAGGGUGAGAGUAACUGUUCACCCUUUGACGGUAUCUAACCAGAAAGCCACGGCUAACUACGUGCCAGCCGCCGCCGUAA